GUCGUUCAUGUCAUUGAAUUCUUGGUUGGCGAACACAUCGAACUCGACCCCAAAAACAUGGUUGCUGAAUUUAGCAUCAUUCGUCCGAUUAAACAAGCCUAAAUUUUGGGAUGAGCUAGUACCAUCGAUCCCAGUAAGUGGGACGAAAAUGAAAACCAAGCCAUGUCCUGGGAGAACAUUCUCGUACGGAGCCAUAGCAAAAAUGAAAGAAGUAGAGAAUGGAUAGAAAUAAGAGGAAUUAGGAGCUCUGGUAGGUAUUUUUGAUGGGUAUAGAGCACGACCAACUGCGAAAGG
rnacentral:misc_RNA from 1 species